UCUUUGGUCGUAUAUCGGUUAGUACACGCGCUUGUCAUUUCUGGUGCGCGCGAAAGCGGGGUUCGAUUCCCCGCCAGAGAG